UACGGGGGGGGGCAAGCGUUGUUCGGAAUUACUGGGCGUAAAGGGCUCGUAGGCGGCCAACUAAGUCGGAUGUGAAAUCCCCAGGCUUAACCUGGGAACUGCAUCCGAUACUGGAUGGCUUGAAUCCGGGAGAGGGAUGCGGAAUUCCAGGUGUAGCGGUGAAAUGCGUAGAUAUUGGGAAGAACACCUGAGGCGAAGGCGGGUUGCUGGGCCGACACUGACGCUGAGACGCGAAAGCGUGGGGAGCAAACAGG
rnacentral:rRNA from 1 species